CUUGGUCAUUUAGAGGAAGUAAAAGUCGUAACAAGGUUUCCGUAGGUGAACCUGCGGAAGGAUCAUUCAUAAUAAGUGUUUUAUGGCACUUUUUAAAUCCAUAUCCACCUUGUGUGCAAUGUCAGUCGAUCUUCUUCAUGGAGAUCGACCAAACAUCAACCUUUAUUUUUUAACUCUUUGUCUGAAAAAUAUUAUGAAUAAACAAUUCAAAAUACAACUUUCAACAACGGAUCUCUUGGCUCUCGCAUCGAUGAAGAACGCAGCGAAAUGCGAUACGUAAUGUGAAUUGCAGAAUUCAGUGAAUCAUCGAAUCUUUGAACGCAUAUUGCGCUCUUUGGUAUUCCGAAGAGCAUGCUUGUUUGAGUAUCAGUAAACACCUCAAAGCUUUUGGAUUUUUUAAUCGAAAAGCUUUGGACUUGAGCAAUCCCAACACCAAUCUUUUUGAGAUCGGUGGCGGGUUGCUUGAAAUGCAGGUGCAGCUGGACAUUCUCCUGAGCUAAAAGCAUAUUCAUUUAGUCCCGUCAAACGGAUUAUUACUUUUGCUGCAGCUAACAUAAAGGGAGUUUGACCGUAUUGGCUGACUGAUGCAGGAUUUCACAAGGGUCGGCAACGAUUCUUGUUAAACUCGAUCUCAAAUCAAGUAAGACUACCCGCUGAACUUAAGCAUAUCAAUAAGCGGAGGAAAAGAAACUAACAAGGAUUCCCCUAGUAACGGCGAGUGAAGCGGGAUGAGCUCAAAUUUAAAAUCUGGCUGGUUUACUAGUCCGAAUUGUAGUUUAUAGAAGCGUUUUCGGUGGCAGCCUGGGUAUAAAUCCUUUGGAAUAGGGUAUCAUAGAGGGUGAGAAUCCCGUCUUUGACUCAGUGCAUGCUACUAUGUGAUACGUUUUCAAAGAGUCGAGUUGUUUGGAAU
rnacentral:sRNA from 1 species